UGUGUUGCCUGAUGAGAAAUUCAACUCAGGCUCAGAUCAAAGUCGCACCAAACUAGAGCUGAUGAUGGAUCAAAAAGUGAUCAAAUAGUUAGAUCAGGUUCUGAUCAUUUGUGUAAUGGAGUGCUUCGGAAAAUUUGAUCAGAUUGAAUUGAUCCGAAUUUGAGGGAAUCAUUUGAUCUAGUAAGGAUGAUGCUUGGUAGGGCUGAAUUUAUUCGGAAUUGAAGUGAGGAUGAUCAGAUUCAGAUCCUACUACUUUGAAAAUACCUGACUGCCGAAUGAGGACAAGGUAGCUCACGCCACCGUAAUGCCACAGCACUAUAUGGGGAGUCGGCCAGAACUGACUCAGUGCUGACAGUCUUGGCCCAACAUUCGGCCAUCCAUGAGCCAACACUACCCCGUUCUUCAUGUCCGGGCAAUUCUAGUCUCCACACCACACCGAAGUGCUCGCUCGACCAUUACCAUAAUGAUAACGACGCAGAAUUCGUACUCUCUCGAGUGCUUCCACAGAACUUCUAUAGGCCACGACUAUACGAGAUGACGUAAAUCAUCUCAAGUAUCAGAAGAAUAGAAGAUCGUCCAUUUUUUUCGAGUACAAAGUCGAAUUUAUUUUUGAGUUGGUAAUUUUUGGGAAACUUUUUACAUUUUUUGGCAAUCGAAUGCAGAUAAAUUUGUCUGCAGGGGAUUUUUUGGAAGGUUUUAAAGGAAUGGUCCAAACACAAUUGGCAGCUUCUUCUGGACAAUUAUUUUAACAGUGUUGUUGAAUUUUUGGGGAUUUCCCCAAAUACAAAAUUCACUCUUUCUCCUCUGAAAAAUAUGGUCCAGAAAUUUAUGGUGGUAGGGCCUCGAAUGUAUGAAAAAAGGGGAAAAGUUUUUAUUACCCGCCUUGCUUAGCAACAUUUGGCGACCAGAAGUGGCAGUGGGGCUAUAACAUAAAAACCUAUUCGGAGGUGGAAAUGUUCUGAUCCAUGAGGCCCAAAAUCCUAUCUUUAAGUUUAGUCUAUCGUUAGAAUCUCUAGAGGAACAUACCUCCUGAUAUCAGUAGAAUCAAAAAUAUAUCGAUUAAAUAUAAAGUGUUCAAAAGAAACAACAGUGUUUCUUAUUUCAAUCCCAUAUUCCAAUAAGUGUUUUAAGGAAAAGUCGACAUGUUCGUUGUAGUCAAAGAUUAAAAUCUGAUUUUUUGAUCAUUAAACGUGAAUAAAUCAUCGUAUUUCUUGGC